rnacentral:rRNA from 1 species
GAGAAUCCCAUGCCCCGAAACCCUAAGGGUUCCUCCGGCAGGCUCGUCCGCGGAGGGUUAGUCUGGUCCUAAGGUCAGGCCGAAAGGCGUAGUCGAUGGAUAACAGGUCAAUAUUCCUGUACCAGUUAUGUUUUGGGAAGGGGGACGGAGAAGGCUAGCCAAUCCAGAUGUUGGUUACUGGUUCAAGCGUUCAAGGCUUUGAGGAACGGAGAAAACGUUCUGAGCUGAGGCGUGAGUACGAGCUGCUACGGCAGCGAAGUUGGUGACGUCAUGCUUCCAAGAAAAUCCCUAUACCCGUUAAGGCAUAAUUGCCAGUACCCGAAACCGACACAGGUGGGGUGGUAGAGAAUACCGAGGGGCGCGAGAUAACUCUCUCUAAGGAACUCGGCAAAAUGGUCCCGUAACUUCGGGAGAAGGGAUGCCAGCGCGAGCUGGUCGCAGUGAAGAGGCCCAGGCGACUGUUUACCAAAAACACAGGUCUCCGCUAAGUCGCAAGACGAUGUAUGGGGGCUGACACCUGCCCAGUGCCGGAAGGUUAAGGAAGCUGGUUAGCGUAAGCGAAGCUAGUGACUGAAGCCCCGGUGAACGGCGGCCGUAACUAUAACGGUCCUAAGGUAGCGAAAUUCCUUGUCGGGUAAGUUCCGACCCGCACGAAAGGUGUAACGAUCUGGGCGCUGUCUCGGAGAGAGGCUCGGCGAAAUAGAAUUGUCUGUGAAGAUGCGGACUACAUACACCAGGACAGAAAGACCCUAUGAAGCUUUACUGCAGGUUGGUAUUGCUCUCGGGCUCUGAAUGCGCAGGAUAGGUGGGAGACUUUGAAGUAGUGCUUUUGGGUGCUAUUGAGUCAAUGGUGAGAUACCACUCUUUCAGAGCUAGAGAUCUAACAUUUACCCGUUAUCCGGGAAAUGGACAGUAUCUGCUGGGCAGUUUGACUGGGGCGGUCGCCUCCUAAAAGGUAACGGAGGCGCACAAAGGUUUCCUCAGGCUGGUUGGAAAUCAGUCGUCGAGUGCAAAAGCAGAAGGAAGCUUGACUGUGAGACCUACAAGUCGAACAGGGACGAAAGUCGGUUUUAGUGAUCCGACGGUUCCGAGUGGAAGGGCCGUCGCUCAACGGAUAAAAGUUACUCUAGGGAUAACAGGCUGAUCUCCCCCAAGAGUUCACAUCGACGGGGAGGUUUGGCACCUCGAUGUCGGCUCAUCGCAACCUGGGGCUGAAGUCGGUCCCAAGGGUUGGGCUGUUCGCCCAUUAAAGCGGUACGCGAGCUGGGUUCAGAACGUCGUGAGACAGUUCGGUCCAUAUCCGGUGUAUGCGCAGGAAUAUUGAGAGGAUUUCUCCCUAGUACGAGAGGACCGGGAGGAACGCACCUCUGGUGUACCAGUUAUCGUGCCAACGGUAAACGCUGGGUAGCCAUGUGCGGAGUGGAUAACCGCUGAAAGCAUCUAAGUGGGAAGCCCACCUCAAGAUGAGUAUUCCCAUGGUUUAAACCAGUAAGAUCACGGGAAGAACACCCGUUGAUAGGCUCUACGUGGAAGUCUGGUAACAGAUGCAGCGAAGGAGUACUAAUAGAUCGAGGGCUUGACCUU